rnacentral:lncRNA from 1 species
AUUUUUCGUAGAUCUAGAUCUGAAGAGUUGAGACUUUGAGUUUUGAGAGCAGAGAGUCUAAGAGUAAGAGAGUUCGAUUGUGAAGAAGAAGACGACGACGACACGACGACGACGACUCACAUGAGUCGAGAAGGCGACUCGCACGGCAACGGAAGUUCCGCCAUGUGACUGAAUUUGAUCUGGAUCUGGUUAAAGCAAAUGAUAAUUUUCUGUCUCAAGGUCAUGGAAGAGGUGGAACAGGGGGUGGGAAUUCAUGAGCUCUGCCAUGGGGAGGUAAAUAUAUCAAAUUUCUGAAUGAUCAAAUGAGGAACGUAUAUAUUUUGUGAUAUUAAUUUUAAUGUUUAUGGUUAACAGGUUUGAUGAGUUUGUUUAAUGAAAUUAUUGAUGGUCUACUGUGUUACACAAUUAUUAUGUACCUCUACUGUCUUGUAUAUUGGAUUAGCUGUACUUGAUAUAACAGGAUCAAAAUUUAGAUUGUGUAAGAUUAUUUAUGGAUUUCGAAGUUAGAUUUUUAUAAUAUUAUUUUAUUUUCUUCAAAUUUUUUGCUGUGUAGCUUAGAAAAAAUCAUGUAUAUAUUGGUAAAUAGGAUGCCAUGUUUUAUGUUCUCUCGUUUCUUUUUCUGUUUUGUCUUCUUUUAUCAUUAAAACACCUUAUUUUAAGUAAAUAAAUGUUGAUAUAAUAUUGAUCAGAUAUUUUUUCUCACGAAAGACGAAACCUUCAGGAAGACGACCACGACGAUUGAAUUUGAACUAUUGAUAUUUUAAAUUGGCAUUUUUCAUGUAAGCAUUUACAGAUUUCACUUAUUAUUUGGACUUAUGUUUUGUUAUGUUUUCCUUAUUGUGAUAUACGUCUGUUGAUGGUAAUUUUGUUGCUGCAGAUAUGAUUGCAAUUUGCAAGUAUGCAUUUGGAUGGUGACAUGAAUGAAAUGAAUAGUUUUUGUUUGAAUUUGUAAUUCUGUAUUUGGAUUUUGGAGCUUAUUUUUGUAAUUUUGUGAUUUGUAUUAUUGUAUGUAAAUUGUAAUAUACUAAUAUGUUACUGUUACAACAACUUAGAUUUGUGAUUUAUAGAUUUUUUUUAAAAAAAAAUUAAAUGAAAAAGCCCGCGGAUCGGGCCGAGCCGGCCCAAUCCGGGCCACAGGCCGCUUAGUUCUAGCCCACUAAAAAUUGGGCCUUUUUAACCCGGCUCGUUAAUGGCUCGGCACGUUUGCCAGGUCUAACUUUUAACAUGGAGAAGAUAAUAGACUUUAUGGUCUAUUUGACUCUUCUAAUGGAUUGUUUGUUCCGCUGCAAUUAUGGUUGAAAUUUUUUAUCAUCUACUAUAUGUUCUAAAUCCCUGAUUCAUUACUAACGAAGGCUAUUAAUAAUUUAAUUAUCUUUAGUCAUGAUAUUCUUUACUGGACUAGUUGUGCUCACCCUUUUGUUUCACAAUUUCUUUCAGGUAAUAGGAGUAUAGUUGGGUCGAGCGGGGAUAAGAGGGGAAUAGAACGGUGGUCUAUAGUUGUUGAGGUUUCUCUUAAAAUAGUAUGGAAAUAAUUUUAUUGAGAAUUUGAGAUAAGUGUGUUGUAUUUUAUACGUCAUUUAACCGUUGAUUUUGGUGAACCGAAUAGGGUGAGGUGAACCUAAUUUUGGAAGAGUGUUUUGCCACUAUCAUAUAAGAUGUUUAAUGACAUACGAUUUCGUGUUAUCAUAAGACAGAGUUGUGCACAUCCAUUUGCUGAUUAUAUCUACGAGCACUACCUAUAUAAUCUUGGAGUUUGGUUGAAAUAUAAUUCUCAAUUGGAG